AUCUUUGUCAGGUUUUGGUAUUAGGGUGAUGGUGGCCUCAUAGACUGAAACAGUGUCUAACUUCUAACUUGUGAAUAGGCCAAAAUCCAGUCCCAGACAUGACACCAUUGUAUUCCUAGCAGUUCCAGAGUGCUUGGCAUGAAGUAGGUGUUCAAUAUUUGUGAGCUGGAUGGAUGGACAGACAGAUGGACUUUCUCAGUUCUGCCAAGAUACUGCAGGGAUCAGACCUGAAGAGCCAACCGUGUUCUGGAUUCAUUUUGGGAUCAUGGCGGGAGACAGCUGAGAGAACAUGAACGUUAAUUUGAUCUGAAGUUUCUCUGGGCUUAUGUGUCUCAUUGGAGAGUAUUUUGAACAGCCAGCUUCUCUUCUGAAAUGUAAACCAUCUGACAGAGUGGUGAUAAUGAAAAAAAGUUGAGAAAAAUGGACUAGAUGAUUCAGAUGGAAGCAUAACGUUGACCACCAAUAGGCCCUCCUCUUGGGAAUAUAUGUUGACUCAGCAGAAGGAAAAAGAUCUCACACAUUGUCUGUGUCUUUGAAGUCAUGGAUGAAUGCACUGACAAUGAAAUUGCUCUUAACACCAUGUACUUUGGAUUUUUAUGU